CUGCUGGCCCCCCUACUUCUGAGGAAGCACAGUUCCCGCUCAGCCCAGUCAAAACUGUUCGCUGCUCUGGCACCCCUAUGGUGGAACAAGCUCCCUCAUGACGCCAGGACAGCGGAGUCAAUCACCACCUUCCGGAGACACCUGAAACCCUCCCCCCCCCUAAAAGAUUUAGAUGCACUAUUGUAAAGUGGUUGUUCCACUGGAUAUCAUAAGGUGAAUGCACCAAUUUGAAAGUCGCUCUGGAUAAGAGCGUCUGCUAAAUGACUUAAAUGUAAAUGUAAAUGUAACAGAGUAGAAGGGGAGUAGAAUGUUGUCUGUAGUGUUUAACAGAGUAGGAGGGGAGGGGAAUAGAGUGUUCUCUGCAGUGUUUUAAAGAGUAUAAAGGGAGUAGAGUAGAGUGUUGUCUGCAGUGUUUAACAGAGUAGGAGGGGAUAGAGUGUUGUCUGCAGUGUUUAACAGAGUAGGAGGGGAGUAGAGUAUAGUGUUGUCUGUAGUGUUUAACAGAGUAGGAGAAGGUAGAGUGUUGUCUGUAGUGUUUAACAGAGUAGGAGGGGAGUAGAGUGUUGUCUGUAGUGUUUAAAAUAGUAUAAAGGGAGUAGAGUAGAGUGUUGUCUGUAGUGUUUACCAGAGUAGGAGGGGAGUAGAGUGUUGUCUCUAGUGUUUAACAGAGUAGUAGGAGGUAGAGUGUCGUCUGUAGUGUUUAACAGAGUAGAAGGGGAGUAGAGUGUUGUCUGUAGUGUUUAACAAAGUAGGAGGGGAGUAGAGUAGAGUGUUGUCUGUAGUGUUUAAAAAAGUAGGAAAAGAGUAGAGUGUUGUCUGUAGUGUUUAACAGAGUAGGAGGGGAGUAGAGUAGAGUGUUGUCUGUAGUGUUUAACAGAGUAGGAAGGGAGUAGAGCAGAGUGUUGUCUGUCGUGUUUAACAGAGUAUGAGGGGAGUAGAGUGUUUUCUGUAGUGUUUAAUAGAGUAGGAGAGUAGUAGGGUAGAGUGUUGUCUGUAGUGUUUAACAAAGUAGGAGUGGAGUAGAGUAGAGUGUUGUCUAUAGUGUUUAACAAAGUAGGAAAAGAGUAGAGUGUUGUCUGUAGUGUUUAACAGAGUAGGAGGGGAGUAGAGUAGAGUGUUGUCUGUAGUGUUUAACAGAGGAGGAGGGGAGUAGAGUGUUGUCUGUAGUGUUUAACAGAGUAGAAGGGGAGUAAAGUAUAGUGUUGUCUGUCGUGUUUAACAGAGUAUGAGGGGAGUAGAGUCUUUUCUGUAGUGUUUAAUAGAGUAGGAGUGUAGUAGGGUAGAGUGUUGUCUGUAGUGUUUAACAAAGUAGGAGGAGAGUAGAGUAGAGUGUUUUCUGUAGUGUUUAACCGAGUAGGAGGGGAUUAGAGUAGUGUUGUCCAUAGUGUUUUAUAUAGGUGUAGGGGUGUAGAGUGUUGUCUUUAGUGUUUAACAGAGUGGAAGGGAAGUAGAGUGGAGAAUUGUCUGUAGUGUUUAGCAAAGUAUAAUGUGAGUAGAGUAGAGAAUUGUCUGUAGUUUUUAACUGAGUAGGAGGGGAUUAGAGUAGUGUUGUCCUUAGUGUUUCCUAUAGUUGUAGGGGUGUAGAGUGUUGUCUGUAGUGUUUAACAGAGUGGAAGUGGAGUAGAGUGGAAAAUUGUCUGUAGUGUUUAACAGAGUAGAAUGUGAGUAGAGUGUUCUCUGGUGUGUUUAACAGAGUGGGAGGGGAGUAGAGUGUUGUCUGUAGUGUUUAACAAAGUAGAAUGUGAGUAGAGUGGAGAAUUGUCUGUAGUGUUUAACAACGUAGGAGGGGAGUAGAGUGCUGUCUGUAGUGUUUAACAGAGUAGUAGGGGUGUAGACUGUUGUCUUUAGUGUUUUACAGAGUAGGAGGGGAAUAGAGUAGGGUGUUGUCUGCUGUGUUUAACAGAGUAGGAGGGGAGUAGAGUAGUGUUGUCUUUAGUUUUUAACAGAGUAGCAUUUGUGUUGAUUAGAGUGUUGUCUGUAGUGUUUAACAGAGUAGGACGAGAGUGGAGUAGAGUGUUGUCUGUAGUUUUUAACAGAGUAGAAGGGGAGUAGAGUGUUGUCUUUAGUGUUAAACAGAGUCGCAGGGGAGUUGAGUGUUGUCUGUAGUGUUUAACAGAGUAGGAGGGGAGUAGAGUGCUGUCUGUAGUGUUUAACAGAGUUGCAGGGGAGUAGAGUUUUGUCUGUAGUUUUUAACAGGGUAGAAGGGGAGUUGAGUAGAGUGUUGUCUGUAGUGUUUAGCAGAGUUGGAGGUGAGUAGAGUAGAGUGUUGUCUGUAGUUUUAACAGAGUAGGAGGGAGUAGAGUAAAGUGUUGUCUGUAGUGUUUAACAGAGUUGCAGGGGAGUAGAGUGAAGUCUGUAGUGUUUAACAGAGUAGGAGGGGAACAGAGUAAAGUGUUGUCUGCAGUGUUUAACAGAAUAGGAGGGGAGUAGAGUAGUGUUGUCUGUCGUGUUUAACAGAGUAGCAUUUGAGUAGAUUAGUGUUGUCUGUAGUGUUUAACAGAGUAGGAGGGGAGUAGAGUCAAGUGUUGUCUGUUGUUUUUAACAGAGUUGAAGGGGUGUAGAGUAAAGUGUUGUCUGUAGUGUUUAACAGAGUAGGAGGGGAGUAGAGUGUUGUCUGUAGUGUUUAACAGAGUAGGAGGGGAGUAGAGUUUUGUGUGUAGUGUUUAACAGAGUAUGAGGGGAGUAGAGUAGAGAAUUGUCUUUAGUGUUUAACAGAGUAUGAGGGGAGUAGAGUGUUGUCUGUAGUGUGUAACAGAGUAGAAGGGGAGUAGAGUGUUUUCUGUAGUGUUUAACAGAGUAGGAGGGGAGUAGAGUAAAGUGUUGUCUGCAGUGUUUAACAGAGUAGGAGGUUAGUAGAGUAGAGUGUUGUCUGUAGUUUUUAACAGAGUAGCAUUUGAGUAGAUUACAGUGGUGUCUGUAGUGUUUAACAGAGUAGGAGGGGAGUAGAGUCGAGUGUUGUCUGUUGUUUUUAACAGAGUUGAAGGGGUGUAGAGUAAAGUGUUGUCUGUAGUGUUUAACAGAGUAGUAGGAGGUAGAGUGUUGUCUGUAGUGUUUAACAUAGUAGGAAAAGGAGAAAAGUGUGGUCUGUAGUGUUUAACAGAGUAGGAGGGGAGUGGAAUGUUGUCUGUAGUGGUUAACAGAGUAGGAGGAGAGUAGAGUAGAGUGUUUUCUGCAGUGUUUAACCGAAUAGGAGGGGAUUAGAGUACUGUUGUCCUUAGUGUUUUCUAUAGUUGUAGGGGUGUAGAGUGUUGUCUGUAGUGUUUAACAGAGUGGAAGUGGAGUAGAGUGGAGAAUUGUCUGUAGUGUUUAACAGAGUUGGAGGUGAGUAGAGUGUUCUCUGGUGUGUUUAACAGAGUGUUAGGGGAGUAGAGUGUUGUCUGUAGUGUUUAACAAAGUAGAAUGUGAGAAGAGUAGAGAAUUGUCUGUAGUGUUUAACAGAGUAGGAGGGGAGUAGAGUUUUGUGUGUAGUGUUUAACAGAGUAUGAGGGGAGUAGAGUAGAGAAUUGUCUGUAGUGUUUAACAGAGUAGUAGGGGUGUAGACUGUUGUCUGUAGUGUUUAACAGAGUAGUAGGGGUGUAGACUGUUGUCUGUAGUGUUUAACAGAGUAGGAGGGGAGUAGAGUUUUGUCUGUAGUGUUUAACAGAGUAGGAGGGUGUAGAGUGUUGUCUGUUGUAACGGUUGUCGUAUAGAGGGGACCAAAGCGCAGCGUGUUGAGUGCUCACGAUGAUCAUUUAUUUUAACUCAAAAUACUGAUGCAAAAUAACAGAGAGAAAAAACGACAGCGCACAGUUCUGUCAGGUACAGAGACUAAACAGAAAACAACUGCCCACAAACACAGGUGAACAAAAAAAAAAACUACUUAAAUAUAAUCUCCAAUUAGAGACAACGAGGACCUGCUGCCUCUAAUUGGAGAUCAGCCAAAAAAACAUCAACAUAGAAAUAGAAAAACUAGAACUUAAAACAUAGAAAUACAAAACAUAGAAGAACACAAAACACCCCCUGUCACGCCCUGACCUACUCUACCAUAGAAAAUCUCAUCUUACUACGGUCAGGACGUGACAUCUGUAGAGUUUAACAGAGCAGGAGGGUGUAGAAUGUUGUCUGUAGAGUUUAACAGAGCAGGAGGAGGUAGAAUGUUGUCUGUAGUGUUUAACAGAGUAGGAGGGGGGUAGAGUGUUGUCUGUAGUGUUUAACAGAGUAGGAGGGGAGUAGAGUGUUGUCUGUAGUGUUUAACAAAGUGGAAGGGGAGUAGAGUAGAGUGUCGUCUGUAGUGUUUAGCAGAGUAGAAGGGGAGUAGAGUGCUGUCUGUCGUGUUUAACAGAGUAGGAGUAGAGUAGAUUGUUGUCUGUGGUGUUUAACAGAGUAGGAGGGGAUUAGAGUAGUGUUGUCCUUAGUCUUUAACAGAGUAGUAGGGGUGUAGACUGUUGUCUGUAGUGUUUAACAAAGUAGGAGGGGAGUAGAGUGCUGUCUGUAGUGGUUAACAGAGUAGUAGGGGUGUAGACUGUUGUCUUUAGUGGUUUACAGAGUAGGAGGGGAAUAGAGUAGAGUGUUGUCUGCUGUGUUUAACAGAGUAGGAGGAGAGUAGAGUAGUGUUGUCUUUAGUUUUUAACAGAAUAGCAUUUGUGUUGAUUAGAGUGUUGUCUGUAGUUUUUAACAGAGUAGGAGGGGAGUAGAGUGGUGUCUGUAGUGUUUAACAGUUGCAGGGGAGUAGAGUAGAGUGUUGUCUGUAGUGUUUAACAGAGUUGGAGUUGAGUAGAGUAGAGUGUUGUCUGUAAUUUUAACAGAGUAGGAGGGAGUAAAGUGUUGUAUGUAGUGUUUAACAGAGUAGGAGGGGAAUAGAGUGUUGUCUGUAGUGUUUAACAGAGUAGCAUUUGAGUAGAUUAGAGUGGUG
rnacentral:lncRNA from 1 species